UACGGGAGGCAGCAGUGGGGAAUAUUGCACAAUGGGCGAAAGCCUGAUGCAGCUAUGCCGCGUGUAUGAAGAAGGCCUUAGGGUUGUAAAGUACUUUCAUCGGGGAGGAAAAAACAAAACUAAUAAUUUUAUUUCUUGACGUUACCCGAAAAAGAAGCACCGGCUAACUCCGUGCCAGCAGCCGCGGUAAUACGGAGGGUGCUAGCGUUAAUCGGAAUUACUGGGCGUAAAGGGCACGCAGGCGGUUAAUUAAGUUGGAUGUGAAAUCCCGGGCUUAACCUGGGAAUGGCAUUCAAGACUGGUUAGCUAGAGUCUUGUAGAGGGGGUAGAAUUCCAUGUGUAGCGGUGAAAUGCGUAGAGAUGUGGAGGAUACCGGUGGCGAAGGCGGCCCCUGGACAAGACUGACGCUCAUGUGCGAAAGCGUGGGGAGCAAACAGGGAUUAGACUACC
rnacentral:rRNA from 1 species